rnacentral:lncRNA from 1 species
GGAGUUUUUUUGGUCAUGCUCACAGCUUAUGGAAGUUCCUAGGCCAGGGAUCAAACCUGAGCCAAAACAGAGACCCACACUGCUACAGUGACAACACCAGGUCCUUAACCCACUGUGCUACAGGAGAACUCCCUGGAUCCUUUGUGUAGGUGGGCUUUCCUCUGCUCUUUAAGAUGAGUUUCCACUUCCAGUCUCUACCUGAGUGGACACUCCCAGGAAGACAUGCCAUGGUGCCUCCAGUGGCUGCGUCUAUCUGCUGCCUUGCAACAUGGACUUCAGGCCCUGGGUCCCUGGGUCUGGUUUAAGAAAGUGCAGGGAUAGAGCCGAGGCCAAGGCCCUGCCAGUUCUCACAGUCCAGGGCUCUCCCCACCUCUGCCCCAUGCUCUUGCCUCUUGCUUUGGCCCUCCCGUCUCCUCUCAUAGACGUUUGUCAUCCCAGGCCUACUGUCCCACUGGGAAUUCUCAGGCUAUAUCACCCCUCCCUUCAUGCCCUGAGGGUCCUUGUCCAGAGGGGCAGCAGCUGCUUCCAGCCCGCCCUGCUGGGCAGUCUGACUCCUCACCUCCCCAGACGAGCACACGACUUGAGGAACUUCCAUGCCCAAUUGGAGGAAACUGAGGCCCAGAGGUGAAAGGUGUUUUGCACCACGAGAAGGAUGCCAUGAAAUGCUCUGCUCUCUUCUCUUUUCCUUGCUGUCCCCGGGGCUGGAGGAGCACAGGCCUCCCAGGCAGGGGCCCUGGCCUUGCUGGAUUCCCAUCUCCUUUCAAGGGUUGAGCCCCCAAGGGCCAGAAGUGAGAGGUGAGUCGGAGCAGGCAGGGCGGGAUGAGGAGGGACCCGACCUCCCAAAGGCUAGCCUGGGUAGGACCCCAGGGGCUGGCGGAGUCUCAGUUGGGAAGGGCUGGGGCCGGGCACAGGGUGUGGCAGGUGUGGACUUGACAGCAGACAGCUCCCUGGGGUUGUGGGGGUGGCGGGCUCCGGGCCAACGGCCUCAGCCAAGCUUGGGGAUGGAGUCCUGUAAAGCCUGAAGGGCCCGUGCAGAGUCCUCGAAUGCUAACCAGCAGGUCAGAGAACUGGCUUCUCUGUGACCCCUGACCCCGUAUUCCAAUUUAAUGAUGGCCAAAGCAGGCCUGACUCAGGCAUCCCGCCUGAGGGGAUGGGACUGAGAGCCCAGAGGAAGGCGUGAGGCCGGAGGCUCAGGAGACCCCGGGUUCCUCCAGGCCAUAGCCGGACAUCACCUGGUGGCCUGGCCCAGGCAGGUGAGGGCUAGAGUCUGUCCGUCCAGCCCCUCGGCGGGCCUGGUGGCCGGAGCGUUCCUGGCCGCCGCUGUGCGGUGCCUGUGGUAACGGGGCUGUUGGCGUUUUGCAAUGGGCCGGGGGUGGGGAGGCUGCGCACACAUGCUUCCUGUGGUGACUGGGCGCUUCCUGUUUUCUCAGGCGCCGGACUUGCUACUGCCGAUGUGGAAACAGGGGCAGCUGCAGCCCGGGUGGCUCCGGGCUGGGUGCCCCGACCCUGCCCAGAGGGGCCUAAGUGGGCCCGCCACCCCAGGCCCCGACUCGGGCAGUAAAUGGCCUGGGUUACCCGCCACACCAAGCCCCGUCCUUCCCCAUCCCCGACCGCUUCCGCCCAGAGGAAGGGGCCAGGCAGGGCUGUCCCUCAAGGCCGAGCAGGUGGUCCAGGAGGUCAGAGGUCCAGGUGGGAGCACUGGCCUCAGCUCUGUCGUUUGCUCACGGAGUAACUUUGGCCAUCCCUGCCCCACGGCAGACAUGGUCUCCCCUCGUAUGCGGUGAUCUGAAAUCUCUCACCCCUUUCUGCUCCAGUUCUGACGUCGCUUAGUUUUCCCGUCCCAAGAGCCUUAGCUUCGGGGGCAGGGGGUGAGCACUGAG